GACGAACGCUGGCGGCGUGCUUAACACAUGCAAGUCGAACGAUGAAGAAAAGAAUCGAAGCUUCGGCAGAAAUUCAUUUCGGAUUAGUGGCCGGCGGGUGAGUAACGCGUGAGCAACCUACCUCUUACAAAGGGAUAGCCUCGGGAAACCGGGAUUAAUACCAUAUAACAUUGUGACGAAGCAUUUCGAUGCAAUCAAAGCUACGGCGGUAAGAGAUGGGCUCGCGUCCCAUUAACCGGAUGGUGAGGUAACGGCUCACCAUAGUGACGAUGGGUAACCGGGAUGAGAGGAUGAACGGUCACACUGGAACUGAGACACGGUCCAGACUCCUACGGGAGGCAGCAGUAGGGAAUAUUGCACAAUGGAGGGGACUCUGAUGCAGCGACGCCGCGUGAGUGAUGAAGGAAUUCGUUUCGUAAAACUCUGUUCUAUGGGAAGAAAAGGACUGUACCAUAGGAGAAAGCUCCGGCUAAAUACGUG
rnacentral:rRNA from 1 species